GUUAAAGCUUGGUCGAAAAUUCCAUUUUGGCUUAGUGGCAAGCAUUUGAAAUUAUUUAUUUCAGGUGAACUUCAGUAACUACAAUGCUGUCAUGAGUUUCUUCAAUGUGAACCAGAACCACUGGAAGUUCAUUUAUCUGCAUGAACCAUCAGGCCAAGUGUUUUUGGUUGACCCUGCUGGACAGAAAGAGAAGCAGGAAUCGGGAAUACGCUGCAUUCAAAUUCAGGUCUUAUUUAUUCCGUUGUACUGGAUCUAAUACAUAUUAGCAUUUUACAUACAUUCAUAAGUGUAAUAAUUAUUUAUUUUUUACAUUUUACAUUUUAGUCAUUUAGCAGACGCUCUUAUCCAGAGCGACUUACAGUAGUGAAUGCAUACAUUUCAUUUCAUGCAUCUUUUUUUUGUACUGUGAAAAACUUUAUGACAUACUGUGAAAAACUCUCUUGGCUGCUGGCUCUGUCACUUUCUUUCACGACUUCUGCCGAAGUCGGUCCCUCUCCUUGUUCGGCGGCAUUCGGCGUUCGACGUCACCGGUCUUCUAGCCAUCGCCGCUCCACCUUUCAUUUUCCAUUUGUUUUGUCUUGUUUUCCUGCACACCUGGUUUUCAUCUCAUCACCAUUACUGUCACGAUUCUCUAAAGCUGAACCCAGAAGCAGACCAGGACAAGGUGAGUAAAAUGAAGGUGAGUAUUUAUUUACAGACUCGAGGUGAAAAUAGAAUAAUCCAGGAGAGUGAGUGGCAGCGGAGGUGAGUUGAUGAGAGUGAGUAGGCAGAUCCAAUGAUGUCACUGAAACCAGAGCCGACCAGGCAAGGGGGGUGAAUGUUCCGGGAGGAUGACUGUAGACAGAGUAAACAGGGGUGAGUAACCGGCAAAAAGUACAGAACAACAAAACGAACUCUGGUAACAUGAGGCUGAUACGCUGACACAACAUACUGUUCAUUGCUAACGAUCCGGCAGGGAAUGGAGGUCAGAGCUUAUGAAGAGAAGAGGUGAUGAUCAGGACCAGGUGUGCAGAUGGCUGAUGAGAUGCAGCUGCGGGUAAUCGAGACAUCACCCGCCUAGAUUCGUCGCCCGGCAACCAGACAGGGUGUGUUCAGAAACCUCAGGAAACAACUCCAAAACAGAAAACAGGCAGCUCAGGCAGAAAACAGACUCUGUUCCCUCCAUGUCUGUGUGGGGUAUUGUUUAUUGUCAAGGUUGGCACGCUUCCGGCUGGUUUGCGCCGGGUUUUGUUUUAUACCCGUGCUUUGUGGCAGCCGAUACUUGGGUUUUGUACUUUGUGCUGCCUUACUUGUUCUUUGGGCAUUUGUUUUGUGACGCGGUUACGUUCUGUUCAUAUGAUUGCCAAAGCAAAGUGCUUUGUCCACUCAUCUCUGCUCUGCUGCGCCUGACUUCCAGGCACCAGCUACACCCACCAUUGACACUUUCAGACAUGCGCAGAGCAGACUGAAAGGGGAAGGGUAGCUCUUGACUUGAACCGCAGGGGUUCUCUGUAAAGAGAGAGUAAUCCAAAAGGCACAGGCACACCCCUUGACUUUCAAUUGGCACCCUUGACCUGUGUAUUCUCUCCUGAUUGGCUCUGUGGUGCUUAGUCAAUGGGAACUCUGUUGCCGGCCCCAUCAUACAUUUUUUACACAUUCUGGCAGUCUGACUAAAGUGCCAGAGGUAUGAGGAGAGACAUCCUCCUUUGUAUUUAUGGGAACAAAUAUUUCCUAACACUUUGGAUCCUAUUUUUGGACAGUGCAUCAAUGCAACAACAAAAAAUAAUUACUAAUUACUGUCCAUGAGUAACCUCAACCUUGUUGGUGUUUGGGCCAAUAAAGUGCCAACUCAAUUCUACCACUGACUAGUCUCUCAUGCCCCUAUGAACGAGGACACAGGGCAAUAGUUUUUAAUCUAAACCAGCCCUUUUUUACUGGAGUACACUAACCCCUAAUUGGGGCUCUUUUCUUGACAAACAGUAGCAGUUUACCAGAUAAGAAGAUCAAAAAGUAGAUUGUUGUAAGGGUGUAUUAUGUCCUGUGCUGGCCACAUUGUCAUAUCCAUUCUGGAUUCUGAGUGGUAAAAUCAUAUCUGAAAAAUGCCUCUAUGUAUGUGUAUACUGUAAGUGGGAAUGUCCGUCCUACAUGUAGUGUUGGUACAUGGAAUAUUCCAUAACUGCAUAUAUCAUGAAAUGCUAUUGCAAUUUGUUCAACAACUGACAUUUUAUGUUCAAGUAUUAUGCUCAACAACUGACAUUUUCAGAUAUUAUUUUGACAAACACACUUUAACACACUUUGGUGCUUACAAUACAUUCUCUAUUGUCAUAGAUUUGGUGGGCACUGUCAUCUGUGAUCUUUGUGAUAUGACUUUCUAAAAGCACGUACUGAUGAAACUGUCACUUAAUAUUUUUUUCUUAAAGUCUAUAAACGCUCUAAAUGUAUUCACUCUGUGAUAGGGUUGGAUCCUAUAUGCUACUUUUAUUAUUGUCCUGUAAAUGGUUCAGUGCCUAUAAUUUAGGCUGUGUGUAGAAUGGGGCAUAAAGGAAAUUACUAGAUUAUAGUGAUAAGGAAAACAAUUUUGGCCUGUGUAUUAUUUUGCCUAUAACUAAUUAGAAUUCCAUUAUGUUUACAUAAAAAAGAGAAUAUUUCAAAAUGAAAAGCUCAUGCCACGGAAAAGACGACUGGGUGGAUAUAAAGUGGAAAGGAGGGGAAAUAACUCACACCAUGCAGCAGGACACCUUCAGCUGCGGGGUCUUUGUAAUGCAGGUUUGAUAGUUAUAUUUUCAAUAAUGAAUGGUUAGCUGUAAUGUGACAAUUAGGUCAAAAACUCUAUUUUAUUUUUUGGUGUAGAUGGCCAAGGAAAUUGCACAGAACUUCCCCAAAAUCCCCUCUCAAAUUGAUAUAGAACCUUUACAAAAACACAUGGAGCAACUGCGAAAAUAAAUGGCUGAGGAUAUACUAAAAAUGGCUGAGUUCAACAAAGUCAACAACUGCUCCAUGUGUGCCACUGAUAAAGAACCUGGAUGUGGCCCAAAGACUGACUGGAUUGAAUGUUUUGCAUGCCAACGGUGGUUCCAUGUGCUGUGCCUAGGAAUGAAGACAAAAUAGUUCAACAGAGUAAAGAACACGAACUGGAAGUGCAGUCUGUGUUGUUGAAAAUGUAUGCUAUACCCCAUCCACACUGAAGAGGUUCUGAAAUGUACAUCAACCAGGGAUAAAGAGAAAGUUAACACUGUGAAACGUUUCGUACUUAUUUGAAAUAAAGUGUCUGUUGACAAGUUGGAAAAGAUUAAAGGUCUACAAUUUCUGUUUAAUUUGACAAUAUUACAUUUUUAUUCAUUGAUUUACUGGCCACCAUUACUGUGGUUACAUGUUCAGUAUAUGUAUUCACCAGCAAACCCA